GGUUGAGCUAUAAUAACGUAGCGAAUUUUUCGCCAAAGAACUUGCAUUCGGAAGAAUGUAAUUCUAGUGGCAUUUUCUUGGCACACUGACUUUUUCUCUCCUUUUUCGUUUCUACCUUUCAUUUUACGAUCUAGGAGGAAUUUAAAUACGAACAAUCACGGCGCUUCGAGCGGAACUCUAAACGGAAAGUGGAAAUGAAAGGAAAGAACGAGUUGGUCCUUUCAAAAAAAUAUAUAUACAGCUUCGAGGAGAAAAUCGUCAUACUGUUAUAAAUCUUUCGACGAGGUAUGAGAAGAAGAAGAAGAAGAAGAAGAAGAAGAAUGUGCUUACGUGUCACUUUUCGCUGAAGGCUGAAUCGACGGUGAGAGAGAGAGAGAGAGCGAGAGAGAGAGAGAAUCAACCUUUCGCAAGCCGAGAAGCAUCCGACGAAUCAUUUAUGAAUCACGUACUUACAAGACUCGAUAGGAGGUUUCGUACGAUUCGACCAACUCUAUCUUUCUCUCCAACUUUCUUACGCUUUUUCUUUUACAACACACGCGAACGAUAUACUCGAUCACUUUUCACCUUCCAAAGAAGAAGAAGAAGAAGAAGAAGAAGAAGAAGAAGGAGGAGGAGGAGGAGGAGGAGCCACUUCGAGAGAUACGUUCGAAAAUCUUUCAAGAAUCAAAAAAUAUCAAGAGUGGGCAAAAUAAAAAAGUUUAACUUUACUUUGUUUCCUUUUUCCAACUUUCAGCAACAUACAUACAUACGUAGAGAGGAGCGCGAUAAGCUCGUUCGAAUUUCUCGUAUGGACAAAGUUAGCAUUUUCUCCGUAAAAAGCUUCCUCCUAAGGAAAGCAUUCGAGAGAGCUUCCAAGGAACAUUGUUUCGGAAAACGGAGUUAUAAGAGAGACAACGAUAAUACCGUUGAAAGACAAUGGAAGACGUUGAUGGACUAAGACACUGCUAACCUCUUAUACGAUAGUCAGCAAGCUAGCUGAAUGUACCAUGAAUAUUUCAAGUUCGCUGCAGUAACGCAGAAGGAAGAAAGCCAUUGAGGAACGAUUUGACGGACAAAUUGAUAAAGAUAAUCGACGGGCAGCGAAUGGUACACGUUAGAAAUCUAAUCCUUCGAAACUUACGAUCACCCUCUUGAUGGCGUUAGGACUAAAGACCAUCAUUCGACGUUGCUUCUUGAUGAGCCUGCUAAGCCGUUGAGUCCUUUGAGCGCAUGUAAGCGUUUUUCCGUUCAAUUGAAAAUCGUCUACAAGUUCAUCCUCGAGGUCGUUUGCAUCCCUCUCGAUCCGAGGACUAUGCCUGAGCGUAACCGUGCUAAGCGGUACCGCUUUGGCGACGAGACUCUCGCUUCUAACGCUCCAAUUGGAACCACCGUACUUCUUCAGAUUCAUCAGAUCACCUAUGCUACCUCUGACCUGACUGGUACACAGCUGAAGAUUCGUUCUCGAGAGAGCCGGCGAGUGAGGAAGAGACUCGGAACACUUCUCGAUCGAUCUGACGACGUCCGGUAAGAUCGACUUGUUCUGAAGUUUGUCCAAAUCUGAGAGGGACGAUCCACGACGAAUCCUGGCUCUGGGCAAAGUUGCUUUUUCUUUUGCAAUUUUUUCUUUCUCGCGAUUCACGCUCUUGGAAGAUAAGGAAGACUUCAUGGCGAAUAGACCCGCCUUCAAUGGAAAGAGCAAUGCCCACUCGGUCGACUUUUCGCGAGUCUCCAUUUUCACCGACCUUUUUUACCUUUCUUCUUCUUCUCGAUAAGAAGAGCUUCGCGUCUUCGUAUAACUUCGAGAAAUAUUAUAGUUCUCCUCGAGGCUCGAAAACAGGAAAGAGAACUCUCGUUUAAGCGUUAAGUUAGAACGAUAACGCGCCAUCCGGCUUGCGGACCUUCCGCUCGGUCGUUAUCGUGCUUCCAAUGAAGAAACCGGAAGAACUUACUUUGGUUGUAUAAUAAAAA